rnacentral:miRNA from 1 species
UCGACGUCAUAAACACGAACAACUUUGGUGUUUAUGACGUCGAUAUUCGACGUCAUAAACACGAUCAACUUUGGUGUUUAUGACGUCGAUAUUCGACGUCAUAAACACGAUCAACUUUGGUGUUUAUGACGUUGAUAUUCGACGUCAUAAACACGAUCAACUUUGGUGUUUAUGACGUCGAUAUUCGACGUCAUAAACACGAACAACUUUGGUGUUUAUCACGUCGAUAUUCGACGUC